rnacentral:rRNA from 1 species
GUGCCAGCAGCCGCGGUAAUACGAACUGUGCAAACGUUAUUCGGAAUCACUGGGCUUAAAGGGUGCGUAGGCGGCUUGUUAAGCAGGGUGUGAAAGCCCUCGGCUCAACCGAGGAAUUGCGCCCUGAACUGGCGAGCUGGAGUGAGGCAGGGGUGUGUGGAACUUCCGGUGGAGCGGUGAAAUGUGUUGAUAUCGGAAGGAACGCCUGUGGCGAAAGCGACACACUGGGUCUCAACUGACGCUGAGGCACGAAAGCCAGGGGAGCGAACGGGAUUAGAUACCCGCGUAGUCC